UUAGGAAUCUUCCACAAUGGGCGAAAGCCUGAUGGAGCGACGCCGCGUGAGGGAUGAAGGCCUUAGGGUUGUAAACCUCUAAAAGAGGGACGAUAAUGACGGUACCUCUUGAAUAGCACCGGCUAACUCCGUGCCAGCAGCCGCGGUAAUACGGAGGGUGCAAGCGUUAUCCGGAAUCACUGGGCGUAAAGGGCGCGUAGGCGGUCUGUUAAGUCAGAUGUUAAAUCCCGGGGCUCAACCCCGGAUAAGCGUUGGAUACUGGCAGGCUAGACGGUUGGAGAGGCGGGUGGAAUUACCAGUGUAGCGGUGGAAUGCGUAGAUACUGGUAGGAACACCCAUUGCGAAGGCAGCUCGCUGGACAACACGUGACGCUGAGGCGCGAAAGUGUGGGGAGCAAACC
rnacentral:rRNA from 1 species